UUCUCCAGGCGAGCUCUUGUUCUGAUAAAAGGCUCUUUUCAGUAAAAAAUGGAGAAAACAAACUAUUCCACAUUCUUUUGAGCAGGGGUAGGAAAACCAACAGAGCUGUCUGCAUCAGUUGGUGUAAAUCCGCGGCCACUGAAAGGAAGUGUUCUGGCCCAUGGAGUGACAGCAGAGGGACACCAAUGACUCCAACACCACUGGCACCUGGAGGAACUGAGGAGGGGAAGCACUGAAGCCUUUAUUACCUUCUUGCUAAAACACACCAGAGCACGUAUCUCAGGCCCUGCAGAGCGGUGUGCGUAGUCCUGUGGGAAAUGACCUGCCUGGGACAGCUACGGCCCUGGAGAGACACAGACACCAACGUGGCAGCGAGAAACAAGGACAGAUGAUCCCCUUCCUGCUCUUAUUGGCGACUUCCCUGUUUACCCAGGCAGGCAGAGCUGUGCCCCGGCCUGCCGGCCCUGGAGCGCCCUGCUGCCCCUGCACAAGGCUGCGCUGGUGUGCCCAGCACUCCCACUGAGGUGGAGCCAAAAGCUGGGAACACCACUGGGGGCUGCCUCUCCCCAGACCACUGCCUCCCUCCACCCCACAGGCAGCUGAGACUGCCACGUGGAGCGGGACUGAGUUACAAGCUGUCAGCAUUAUUUUGCAUUAAUAAAUGCAGUG